ensembl:lncRNA
CAAGAUUGUCUGGUGGAAUGGAGAAAGAGGCACCACUGUACAGUUUUCUAGGGAAAGUCGUUCCGCUGACACCAAAACACUGCUUUACAUAAAGCAUAUCAGCUGUUUCAAAGUCCCAACCAUUUGUCUUCCUAAAAUACUGGUCCUUCCGUAUAACAAUAACCUCGUAUGUGAUUGGAGGACCCUUAGACUCCUCGUCCAAUCACGUGUGAGGUCAUAGGCAUGACUCAGACAGCAGUACUUGCAAGACGAGCAUACAAACAGACACGUGUGUGUUACUAUAUUCAGAAGAACUGUAUCUCCAGUUCCUUUGUUUGGUUUUUGCUGCUUCGUGAAUAAUGGCGGGACGACGUCUCGCGUUCAACUCGCCUUCAACUCUUCUCCGCGGUCACCAACUUUCGGCCAGUCCGCAGACAGACGAGAAGAAGCUGCUGAAUGAUCUCAGUGGAUCGUCUCGUCAACUCCAACAACAAACUGCCGAUAUCAACGAGCAGUUCGCUCCACUGGAGCGUUCGGGACUCUGCGGGUUUCUGUCCAUGGAGGAGAGGAACUGACUCAAAGAAGAGGAGACGGGCGCACAAUCCCACGAUAGCGGAAGCGGUGCGCCGUCUUCACAACUCCGAGACGAACUACAGGCGCUACGAACCGGAGCAAGGGUCAGAUUUAAAGAAUAUGCUUUCAUUCUGCGCUAUAAGGAAAUAUAUACGUAUGUAUACCGAUCAUAACUGUACAUUUUGUUUUCACAGACUAAUCUCGCCUCAUAAUGAGGCGGUGACCUCGUAUUUGCUCCGGGAAAAGUCCAGAUUUAGACGACGUCAUUGUGUAUAAGUGACACUGUUUACUGUUUCUCCUUCCUUGUUCAAUGUUACUGUGACUUGCGUUUGAUUUUUUUUGUAUUCAUACCACUCAUUUAAUUGUUUUCCAGCCGCCUGUGAGACGUAUUGUGAGACGGGACGGAGGAGCUUCAGGUUCAGGCGGAACACUCACCGCGGGCUGAAGCUGCGAAGGAUUCAGCGCGGAGUCGAGCGAGAAGAAAGACGCUGCUGGAAUCGAGACAAAGUGCGCUGGCUGAUGACGAGGUGGAACUCUGGAAAUCCGCCACCGUGGAGCUCACGUCGGACGGAGAGGACGGUGUUGUUGGCGGGGUCUCGGGGUGGAUUGUACGGUCGCCACACACACACGAGCCGCCUGCACAACAGACCUGCCUCGGAAAACACGGCGCCAGUGACGGUCAACAACCCCGAGGAGGCAAACGGACAGUUUACUGAGCUGUAGUUUUUAAACCGCCGUUACCCAAGUGCGGGCAGAUCCUCACUUUGUAUGUAGUUGUUGUUUGUGUGUUGUUAAUAAAGCUUUUUCUU